rnacentral:rRNA from 1 species
UUGAACGCUGGCGGCAGGCCUAACACAUGCAAGUCGAGCGGAUGAAGGGAGCUUGCUCCUGGAUUCAGCGGCGGACGGGUGAGUAAUGCCUAGGAAUCUGCCUGGUAGUGGGGGAUAACGUCCGGAAACGGGCGUUAAUACCGCAUACGUCCUGAGGGAGAAAGUGGGGGAUCUUCGGACCUCACGCUAUCAGAUGAGCCUAGGUCGGAUUAGCUAGUUGGUGGGGUAAAGGCCUACCAAGGCGACGAUCCGUAACUGGUCUGAGAGGAUGAUCAGUCACACUGGAACUGAGACACGGUCCUGACUCCUACGGGAGGCAGCAGUGGGGAAUAUUGGACAAUGGGCGAAAGCCUGAUCCAGCCAUGCCGCGUGUGUGAAGAAGGUCUUCGGAUUGUAAAGCACUUUAAGUUGGGAGGAAGGGCAGUAAGUUAAUACCUUGCUGUUUUGACGUUACCAACAGAAUAAGCACCGGCUAACUUCGUG